CCCGCCCCCAAAAAAUCACAAGCCACACGUGCAACAGUAACAACACACAUCUCUUCAAUCCAGACAGCUCUGAGUUUCAGUUCUUCACCUUGGGAGGUGGCCUGUACACACCGACAACCACGGCGUGGUCUCGCUCAUAAGGCUCUAGCGUCAGCUGCUCCUGCGGCUUCAUGUUCUCCUGCUGCAUCUUCUUCACUUCAGAUGCAAACACAGCCUCUGCUGACGCAGUGGAGUCAAUGCAGUUGGCCUUAAUGGAAAUCACAAAGUGUCCUCCAUUCCGCAGGAAGGUGUGGGCGUUCAGGGCCACAAUUCGGGUUUGGUCUGGCUGGGCCACAUCGGCAAAGAUGACAUCCACCAUUGCGAUAAGCAUGCGGUAUUUGUGUGGGUGUCGAGCAUCUUCAAUUACAGGAAUAAUGUUAGUCCUCUUCUUGGCCAAGUUGAUGAGGUCACGGCCAGAGCGGUGGGAGAACUCAACUGCGUAGACCAGACCAUCCGGGCCGACAAUAUCAGAGACGUGGGAGACGGUGGUGCCUGAGGCUGCCCCAAGGUAGAGCACCUUGGCUCCUGGCUUGAUGUGGAUCUGGUCUACGCCGCCCAGGAUAGCUGCUGCCAGCUUGGAGCGGAAGGGGUUCCAGGCUCUGUACUCAAUUUUGUCAUCUCCUUCUGAAAUAGAGACUCUCUUCUCUCCAUACACAGACUCUCCAGGGACCAGAUUCUUUGUGACAAGAUCAUCCUCCUUUCCGAGACAGAUAAAGACACCUUCAUGCCGAUGCGGCUCCACCAUCACAUUCUUCCCUGACUGGUUUCCUCUCUUGCCUCCCCGGCCACCACCUCGACCCCGGUUGCCCCCAGACUGGAAGCCCCCACCUCGGCCACCGCCACCUCCUCGUCCCCUGAAGCCACCACCCCCUCCGCCUCGACCUCCACCGCCAAAGCCUCCUCGGCCUCCUCUUCCACCUCCUCUACCGCCUCUGUCACCAAAGCCGCCUCUGCCACCAAAGCCACCCCCACGGGGGCUGAAACCUGGCUUCAUUACUGCGUUCUGGUCGCACGACUCAGGCAACCUGCGGCGUCCCCGACUCCACGAGUCUCAGGCUUUCACUAGGAUGAGGUUCUUAAAGCCCAUGCCCACAGUGAUCCACCUACUCCAACAAGGCCACACCUCCUAAUAGUGCCACUUCCUGGGCCAAGCAUAUACAAACCACCACAGAUGUGCUCAGCUGUGAACAGCUACCCUUGAUCGUGAUGCCGCAGAAACAACAAGAGAGACCUUGUCUCAGUGACGUGGAAGAAGAAUCAGUCCCCAGAAGUUGUAUCCUGACCUUCUUUUGCCAUAGCA
rnacentral:lncRNA from 1 species